UACGUAGGGGGCUAGCGUUGUCCGGAAUCAUUGGGCGUAAAGAGCGUGUAGGCGGCCCGGUAAGUCCGCUGUGAAAGUCGGGGGCUCAACCCUCGAAUGCCGGUGGAUACUGUCGGGCUAGAGUGCGGAAGAGGCGAGUGGAAUUCCUGGUGUAGCGGUGAAAUGCGCAGAUAUCAUUUGGAACGCCAAUGGUGAAAACAGCUCGCUGGGGGUUUGCUGACGCUGAGACACGAAAGCCAGGGGAGCAAACGGG
rnacentral:rRNA from 1 species